GCAUCCGUAGCUCAGCUGGAUAGAGUAUCGCCCUCCGAAGGCGGUGGUCGUGGGUUCGAAUCCCGCCGGAUGCGCCA
rnacentral:tRNA from 1 species